rnacentral:rRNA from 1 species
UAAUACGGAGGGAGCAAGCGUUACUCGGAAUUAUUGGGCGUAAAGGGCGCGUAGGCGAUCUGAAAAGUUCUGUGUGAAAGCCCACAUGUUAACUGUGGAAGUGCACAGAAAACUGUUGGAUUUGAGUUCAGGAGAGGAAGGCAGAAUUCCCGGUGUAGCGGUGAAAUGCGUAGAGAUCGGGAGGAAUACCAGUGGCGAAGGCGGCCUUCUGGACUGACACUGACGCUGAGGCGCGAAAGCCAGGGGAGCAAACGGG